AGCUGGCGUCUGCCCUGUAAAGAGCCCUUAUGGGGGGGUUGGGGGGGCAAAGGCUUCUGCAAGUAAGGGGUGCGUGGGGUGGGUGGUGCAAUCCCAGCUUCUAGAAUUCCUUCUGUAUGCAGAGCAAGCAAACUCCCACACCCCAAAAGGUCUUGAAAAAAGACAGUUCGCCGCUUUCUCCGCAAAACAAUCACCCGUUUCACAAGGAGUUUGUAAGAAUUUCAAGACAUGCAAGAAUAAGGUAAGACUGCUGGCAAAAUAAAAAUUCCUUUUUAACAAUUAUCUGAG
rnacentral:lncRNA from 1 species